ensembl:lncRNA LINC00240 long intergenic non-protein coding RNA 240
GACCGGAAGUAGAAACUGGGUGCUCCAGUGGCGCAAUCGGUUAGCGCGCGGUACUUAUAUGGCAGUAUGUGUGCGAGUGAUGCCGAGGUUCCUUUUUAGAACCAAGCAACGCCAAUUACCAACAAAAUCCGUUGCGCCGCAGUGAGUUAGCUACCUUCUAUCUCCACUUUGUUCUGCACGUCGAUCUCAGGAGAAGCCAGCUCCCAUGUUAAGAAGUUCAAAUACCUAGAGACUGCGAUGGUUUGCAGAGGCUCAAGCUAACCACAUGGAAAGACAUGGAGAGAUAUUCCUUGCCAACCCUCAACUACUCCAACUAUUCUAAGACAUCAAACCUGUCACCCACCGGUCUGAAGAGGAGGAUGAGAGACAAAGAAAAAAGUUGUCUGGCUGCCUCUGCUGUCUACAGAUUGAAGAAGAUCCAUCCAGCUGAGCCCAGCCUAGACCAGCUGACUUCUCCAAUAAGCCUGUAUGAAAUAAAUGCUUAUUGUUAUGUGA